AUUGAACGCUGGCGGAAUGCUUUACACAUGCAAGUCGAACGGCAGCACGGGGGCAACCCUGGUGGCGAGUGGCGAACGGGUGAGUAAUAUAUCGGAACGUGCCCAGUCGUGGGGGAUAACGUAGCGAAAGUUACGCUAAUACCGCAUACGAUCUACGGAUGAAAGCGGGGGAUCGCAAGACCUCGCGCGAUUGGAGCGGCCGAUAUCAGAUUAGGUAGUUGGUGGGGUAAAGGCUCACCAAGCCAACGAUCUGUAGCUGGUCUGAGAGGACGAGCAGCCAGACUGGGACUGAGACCCGGCCCAGACUGCUGCGGGAGGCAGCAGUGGGGAAUUUUGGACAAUGGGCGCAAGCCUGAUUCAGCCAUUCCGCGUGCAGGACGAAGGCCUUCGGGUUGUAAACUGCUUUUGUACGGAACGAAAAAGCCUUGGCUAAUACCCAGGGUCCAUGACGGUACCGUAAGAAUAAGCACCGGCUAACUACGUGCCAGCCGCCGCAGUAA
rnacentral:rRNA from 1 species